GUCUUCAGCCAUAUCACCCUGGAUGAACCUGAUCUCGUCUGAUCUUGGAAGCUAAGCAGGAUCAGGCCUGGUUAAUUCUUGGGUGGGAAGAAU
rnacentral:rRNA from 1 species